rnacentral:rRNA from 1 species
UCCGGUUGAUCCUGCCAGAGGUCACUGCUAUCGGGGUUCGAUUAAGCCAUGCGAGUCGAGAGGGUUCGCCCUCGGCGUACUACUCAGUAACACGUGGAUAACCUACCCUAAGGAAGGGGAUAACCUCGGGAAACUGAGGAUAAUACCCUAUAGGUUACAGACGCUGGAAUGCCCUGUAACCGAAAGCUCCGGCGCCUUAGGAUGGAUCUGCGGCCGAUUAGGUUGUUGUUGGGGUAACGGCCCAACAAGCCGAUAAUCGGUACGGGUUGUGGGAGCAAGAGCCCGGAGUUGGAUUCUGAGACAUGAAUCCAGGCCCUACGGGGCGCAGCAGGCGCGAAAACUUUACAAUGCGGGAAACCGUGAUAAGGGAACCCCGAGUGCCUGUAUAUGCAGGCUGUCCAGGUGUCUAAAAAACACCUGAAGAAAGGGCCGGGCAAGACCGGUGCCAGCCGCCGCGGUAAUACCGGCGGCUCGAGUGGUGGCCACUUUUAUUGGGCUUAAAGCGUUCGUAGCUGGGUUGUUAAGUCUCUUGGGAAAUCUGACGGCUCAACCGUCAGGCGUCCAAGGGAUACUGGCAAUCUUGGAACCGGGAGAGGUGAGGGGUACUUCGGGGGUAGGAGUGAAAUCCUGUAAUCCUCGAGGGACCACCUGUGGCGAAGGCGCCUCACCAGAACGGCUUCGACAGUGAGGGACGAAAGCUGGGGGAGCAAACCGGAUUAGAUACCCGGGUAGUCCCAGCCGUAAACGAUGCGCGUUAGGUGUAUCGGUGACCACGAGUCACCGAGGUGCCGAAGGGAAACCGUGAAACGUGCCGCCUGGGAAGUACGGUCGCAAGGCUGAAACUUAAAGGGAUUGGCGGGGGAGCACCACAACGGGUGGAGCCUGCGGUUUAACUGGACUCAACGCCGGGAAGCUCACCGGAUAAGACAGCGGAAUGAUUGCCGGGCUGAAGACUCUGCAUGACUAGCUGAGAGGAGGUGCAUGGCCGUCGUCAGUUCGUACUGUGAAGCAUCCUGUUAAGUCAGGCAACGAGCGAGACCCACGCCAACAGUUGCCAGCAUGGUCUCCGGACUGAUGGGGACACUGUUGGGACCGCCUCUGCUAAAGAGGAGGAAGGAAUGGGCAACGGUAGGUCAGCAUGCCCCGAAUUAUCCGGGCUACACGCGGGCUACAAUGGUUGGUACAAUGGGCAUCUACCCCGAAAGGGGAAGGAAAUCUCUUAAAACCAAUCGUAGUUCGGAUUGAGGGCUGCAACUCGCCCUCAUGAAGCUGGAAUCCGUAGUAAUCGCGUUUCAACAGAACGCGGUGAAUACGUCCCUGCUCCUUGCACACACCGCCCGUCAAACCACCCGAGUAGGGUCUGGAUGAGGGUGUGUUUUAUUGACACAUUCGAAUCUGGGCUUUGCAAGGGGGGUU